ACUUUUCAGCAAUGCUGGAGCUGUUAGACUUUGGCAACUUUUAGAGACAAGGAAGCUGAGGUGAAGGACACUGUUCUACUCACACAGCCAGGGAGUGGCAGAGAAAGGAUUUGAAUCCAAGUCUUCCCUUUGGAAUCAAAGUCUAUGUUUAGAGGUUACUAAACUAGAGAUGUAAUCUUAACAGCUCCAUAAAGGGACCUGAGGUGGAUCCAAAGGCAGAGCAGUAUCUUCAGUGUAGAUGUGCUGCACCCAUCCCCCUCACUUCAAAAGCCACAAGAACAAACUGCAGAGCUGGAGAAAUAAAUAAAAAAUUAGUUUCGUGUUUUCAGAGUCCAGAGGGGGUGGCGGGCAUUGAAUUAUUCAGGCUGUUUGGGUGUGAACUGUUAGUUUUCUACCGCUCUUGCCUUGAUGGCUCCUCUGACACA